CACCUUGACUUAAUUUCCUUUAUUUAAUAUAUUUAUUUAUUUCCUUUUAAAGUCAAGAAGGGUUCUCUGCAACGGGGGGCAAAGUAAAUUCACACUAUUGUUGAAUUUAUCAUUUAUGUGUUUUCUCAUAACAUACAAUACAAUACACUGAAAAUACAAAAGACGUCAGAAGUUGAAAGUGAGGCGUCGUGCAGGAUGAGUUGUGACCUCGGAGAAGAGAGCCUGCGGUUGUUUGGCUUCUCUUCAGCGGUGAGAAUGAAACGUUAAAGGGAACUUUUGAUGGGCUCUCAUGACAUUCAAAUGAAGCUUAUUCUUUGACUCGUGAGGCGCUGAGUUUUAAGAGUUCUUUACUCAGCCCUAACAAGUAUGGAGAAAUAUUGAAUCAUACCAUAAAUCAACCAUAAAUGUGUUCCUACUUCUAGCGGCUUGUUCCAUUGGGGUUGUUUGCAUGUUGAAAAGUUAUGUUUGUCCAAAAUACUGUUUAUUUUGUCUGAAUGAUCACACAAGAUUUCUGUUUUUUUUUUUGUUUCUUUUUAAAUGCAAGACAUUUAUUUGGUGUUUUAGUUGAUAUCGUCUUUUCUUUUUUCACAAUAGAUAACUCACAACGCUCACAGAUCAAGACCACAUCCGAAUUCAAGAGCCCGGCAGGACAUAGAGAUGGAGUCGCAAUAAUGCGAGUAUUGGAAUUAAAAGGCUGCGACAUCUGGAGUGACACCUGCUUCGGCUUCAGCGGCCGCAGUGCACAGCCGUCAUUUAUAUUCUUUGCAUCGUCGUUAUUUCUCCCUG